rnacentral:rRNA from 1 species
GAUGAACGCUAGCGGCAGGCUUAAUACAUGCAAGUCGUGGGGCAGCAGGACUGUAGCAAUCCAGUUGCUGGCGCCCGGCACACGGGUGUGGAACACGUACGACACUUAUAUUGAACUGGGGGAUAGUCCGGGGACACCCGGUUUAAUACCCCGUAAUAUAAUGCAGCGGCAUCACUUUAUUAUUAAAGCUCUGGCGGUUCGGGAUGGGUGUGGGGCUGGUUAGGUAGUUGGUUGAGGUAACGGCGGAUCAAGCAUACGACCAGUAACUGGCGGGAUGGCACGACCAGUCACACGGGCACUGAGACACGGGCCCGACUCCGACGGGAGGCAGCAGUAAGGAAUAUUAUGCAAGGGAGGCAACUCUGACCCAGCCAUGCCGCGUGGAGGAUGAAGGCCCUCGGGAUUGUAAACUUCUUUUAUAGGAGACGAAACCUGUGUAUUCUUACGCAGUUGACGGUACCCAAGGAGUAAGCACCGGCUAACUCCGUG